rnacentral:rRNA from 1 species
GAUGAACGCUGGCGGCGUGCCUAAUACAUGCAAGUCGAGCGAACGGACGAGAAGCUUGCUUCUCUGAUGUUAGCGGCGGACGGGUGAGUAACACGUGGAUAACCUACCUAUAAGACUGGGAUAACUUCGGGAAACCGGAGCUAAUACCGGAUAAUAUUUUGAACCGCAUGGUUCAAAAGUGAAAGACGGUCUUGCUGUCACUUAUAGAUGGAUCCGCGCUGCAGUAGCUAGUUGGUAAGGUAACGGCUUACCAAGGCAACGAUGCAUAGCCGACCUGAGAGGGUGAUCGGCCACACGGGAACUGAGACACGGUCCAGACUCCUACGGGAGGCAGCAGUAGGGAAUCUUCCGCAAUGGGCGAAAGCCUGACGGAGCAACGCCGCGUGAGUGAUGAAGGUCUUCGGAUCGUAAAACUCUGUUAUUAGGGAAGAACAUAUGUGUAAGUAACUGUGCACAUCUUGACGGUACCUAAUCAGAAAGCCACGGCUAACUACGUG